UACGUAGGGUGCAAGCGUUAAUCGGAAUUACUGGGCGUAAAGCGUGCGCAGGCGGUGAUGUAAGACAGAUGUGAAAUCCCCGGGCUCAACCUGGGAACUGCAUUUGUGACUGCAUCGCUGGAGUGCGGCAGAGGGGGGUAGAAUUCCACGUGUAGCAGUGAAAUGCGUAGAGAUGUGGAGGAACACCGAUGGCGAAGGCAGCCCCCUGGGUCAAGAUUGACGCUCAUGCACGAAAGCGUGGGGAGCAAACGAGGAUUAGAGUAC
rnacentral:rRNA from 1 species